GGCUGGCAAUUUGGCACGUACAUGCACUGUUUCACUAAACGUGGCUCGCAUGAUAAAACCAUACGUGCAUGAUCCUUCAUUUCUUAUAUAUAUUAUUCUUCCGUGUUACUCAUCUCUUUUUUCAAAGAAAAAAAAGGUACUCUCCAUCAUUAUAAUAAUCUAUAAUAAUCCAUAAUAAUCCAGUACAGAUCACAUAUAUACUAUGCAUUCCGUAUAAACCAAAACCGUUGAGAGUU
rnacentral:lncRNA from 1 species